UGCUCAGCAGCUAUAUAAGUUUGAAUAGCGUAUCUUUGUGUGUAUAUAUAUUUUUAACUGUAAAUAACUAUAUGCGUGUGUGUAUCAUGUGGAACUGUAACAAUUGUACUGUGUUGUAAAACUGUUAUGUGAACUAUGUGUGUUUGAUGUGUAACUGUAAAUAUUGUGCCAUUCUGUUGAAUGACUUUCGUUUCAAAGGACCACUGGAAAUAUUAGGACAAAGGGGGGUUAUUACUGACAUGGUUAAAUGACAGUAACACCUCAAGUUAUAAGUAAAUCAAUGGAGAUAUCAUGAUAUCUGCGGGACAGUUUCUGACAUGAUUAAAUGACAGUAACUUCAUUCACAGUUUAAGGAAAUCAUAGUGGGACAAAGAGG
rnacentral:lncRNA from 1 species